CUGACCUGAGAGCCAGCUGCAUAGCUCAAGCCACAAAGGAACCUAGUUUUUGGAAAGGGUUCAAUGUUUAUGUGGCAGUGCUGAGAACUCUGAAUAUGUUUCCAUCAUAUUCAAAGUAUUGCUACUCUCUGGAUACCUCAGGGUAAUUUCUGACAUUAUGACAAAUAUAAAAACCUGAACGGCUGAACUUCUCUCCCUCCGCUGGCUUCCAUGAUGCACCUGCUCCCUAGUUUUCUUCUGGCCUCUGUGGCUGCUUCACUUCAUUAUCCUUGAUGGUUCCUCUUCCUCCAGUCAUGGCUGAAAUAUUUUUCCUGGCCCGAUCCUCUCUCUAAACAGUCUCUCUGGGAUCCUAUCACAGCUUCAGCUGCCAGUGAUGACUUCAGCAUGUCCACCUUGAGCCAAGAGAACUUCAA
rnacentral:lncRNA from 1 species